AGUACCUUUCGAGGUACGGAGAGUGGCGCACGGGUGAGUAACACGUAACUGAUCUGCCCUAGAGAGGGGGAUAACUACUGGAAACAGUAGCUAAAACCCCAUAAGCUCACGUUUUUUAGAAAGAUGUGAGAAAAACUCCGGUGCUCUAGGAUGAGGUUGCGUCCCAUCAGCUAGUUGGUGUGGUAAAGGCACACCAAGGCGACGACGGGUAGGGGACCUGAGAGGGUGACCCCCCACACUGGAACUGAGACACGGUCCAGACUCCUACGGGAGGCAGCAGUGAGGAAUAUUGCACAAUGGACGAAAGUCUGAUGCAGCGACGCCGCGUGGGCGAAGAAGGUUUUCGGAUCGUAAAGCCCUUUUCUAUGUGACGAGAACGGACGGUAGCAUAGGAAUAAGUGUCGGCUAACUACGUGCCAGCAGCCGCGGUAAAACGUAGGACGCGAACGUUAUCCGGAGUUACUGGGCGUAAAGCGCGUGCAGGCGGUUUUGUAAGUUACCUAUGAAAGCUCUCGGCUAAACUGGGAGAGGAUAGGUGAAACUGCAAGACUAGAGUGAGGUGGAGGUGAGUAGAAUUCCAGGUGUAGUGGUGAAAUGCGUAGAUAUCUGGAGGAAUACCAGUGGCGAAGGCGGCUCACUGGCCCUCAACUGACGCUGAGACGCGAAAGCGUGGGUAGCGAACGGGAUUAGAAACCCCGGUAGUCCACGCUGUAAACGAUGUACAUUAGGUGUUCGUGUGCCUGCGGGUAUAUGAGUAUCGAAGCAAACGCGAUAAAUGUACCGCCUGGGGAGUACGGUCGCAAGGCUAAAACUCAAAGGAAUUGACGGGGGCCCGCACAAGCAGCGGAGCGUGUGGUUUAAUUCGAGGCUACGCGAAGAACCUUACCUGGGUUUGACAUGGUAGUAGUACGGAAGCGAAAGCGGAAGGACUCUUCGGAGAGCUAUCACAGGUGCUGCAUGGUUGUCGUCAGCUCGUGCCGUGAGGUGUUCGGUUAAGUCCGCAAACGAGCGCAACCCCCGGUGCUAGUUACAAGUGUCUAGCGCGACUGCCCGUGACAAACGGGAGGAAGGUGGGGAUGACGUCAAAUCAGCAUGGCCUUUAUAUCCAGGGCUACACACACGCUACAAUGGUCAGUACAAUGGGUCGCGAAGCCGCGAGGUGGAGCCAAUCCUCUAAAGCUGAUCUCAGUUCGGAUUGCAGGCUGCAACUCGCCUGCAUGAAGUCGGAGUUGCUAGUAACCGCGUAUCAGCACGGCGCGGUGAAUACGUUCCCGGGCCUUGUACACACCGCCCGUCACGUCAUGGAAGCGGGUCACGCCUAAAGUCGGGAAGCUAACCUAACGGAG
rnacentral:rRNA from 1 species